AAUGAACGCUGGCGGCGUGCCUAACACAUGCAAGUUGAGCGGUAAGGCCCCUUCGGGGGUACACGAGCAGCGAACGGGUGAGUAUCGCGUGGGUAAUCUACCUAGAGGUGGGGGAUAGCCUCGGGAAACCGGGGGUAAUACCGCAUGAGUCCUCGACGACACAAGUCGAUGAGGGGAAAGGCGGGGCUCCUUCGGGACCUGUCGCCUCUGGAUGAGCCCGCGUCCGAUUAGCUAGUUGGUGGGGUAAUGGCCUACCAAGGCAACGAUCGGUAGCCGGCCUGAGAGGGUGAACGGCCACAUUGGGACUGAGACACGGCCCAGACUCCUACGGGAGGCAGCAGUGGGGAAUAUUGGGCAAUGGGGGAAACCCUGACCCAGCGACGCCGCGUGGAGGAUGACGGCCUUCGGGUUGUAAACUCCUGUCAGGUGGGAAGAAGAGCUUGUCGGUUAAUACCCGGCAGGAAUUGACGGUACCACCAAAGGAAGCCCCGGCUAACUCCGUG
rnacentral:rRNA from 1 species